GGGAAACUGCCUGAUGGAGGGGGAUAACUACUGGAAACGGUAGCUAAUACCGCAUAACGUCGCAAGACCAAAGAGGGGGACCUUCGGGCCUCUUGCCAUCAGAUGUGCCCAGAUGGGAUUAGCUAGUAGGUGGGGUAACGGCUCACCUAGGCGACGAUCCCUGGCUGGUCUGAGAGGAUGACCAGCCACACUGGAACUGAGACACGGUCCAGACUCCUACGGGAGGCAGCAGUGGGGAAUAUUGCACAAUGGGCGCAAGCCUGAUGCAGCCAUGCCGCGUGUAUGAAGAAGGCCUUCGGGUUGUAAAGUACUUUCAGCGGGGAGGAAGGCGAUAAGGUUAAUAACCUUGUCGAUUGACGUUACCCGCAGAAGAAGCACCGGCUAACUCCGUGCCAGCAGCCGCGGUAAUACGGAGGGUGCAAGCGUUAAUCGGAAUUACUGGGCGUAAAGCGCACGCAGGCGGUCUGUCAAGUCGGAUGUGAAAUCCCCGGGCUCAACCUGGGAACUGCAUUCGAAACUGGCAGGCUGGAGUCUUGUAGAGGGGGGUAGAAUUCCAGGU
rnacentral:rRNA from 1 species